UACGUAGGGGGCAAGCGUUGUCCGGAUUUAUUGGGCGUAAAGAGCGUGUAGGCGGCCAAACAGGUCAGCUGUGAAAACUCGAGGCUCAACCUCGAGACGUCGGUUGAAACCGUUUGGCUAGAGUCCGGAAGAGGAGAGUGGAAUUCCCGGUGUAGCGGUGAAAUGCGCAGAUAUCGGGAAGAACACCCGUGGCGAAGGCGGCUACUCUGGAGCGGUACUGACGCUGAGACGCGAAAGCGUGGGGAGCAAACAGG
rnacentral:rRNA from 1 species